rnacentral:rRNA from 1 species
UACGGAGGGGGCUAGCGUUGUUCGGAAUUACUGGGCGUAAAGCGCACGUAGGCGGCUUUGUAAGUUAGAGGUGAAAGCCCGGGGCUCAACCCCGGAAUAGCCUUUAAGACUGCAUCGCUUGAACGUCGGAGAGGUGAGUGGAAUUCCGAGUGUAGAGGUGAAAUUCGUAGAUAUUCGGAAGAACACCAGUGGCGAAGGCGGCUCACUGGACGACUGUUGACGCUGAGGUGCGAAGGCGUGGGGAGCAAACAGG